AUUGAACGCUGGCGGCAUGCCUUACACAUGCAAGUCGAACGGUAACAGGUCUUCGGAUGCUGACGAGUGGCGAACGGGUGAGUAAUACAUCGGAACGUGCCCGAUCGUGGGGGAUAACGGAGCGAAAGCUUUGCUAAUACCGCAUACGAUCUACGGAUGAAAGCAGGGGACCGCAAGGCCUUGCGCGGACGGAGCGGCCGAUGGCAGAUUAGGUAGUUGGUGGGAUAAAAGCUUACCAAGCCGACGAUCUGUAGCUGGUCUGAGAGGACGACCAGCCACACUGGGACUGAGACACGGCCCAGACUCCUACGGGAGGCAGCAGUGGGGAAUUUUGGACAAUGGGCGCAAGCCUGAUCCAGCCAUGCCGCGUGCAGGAUGAAGGCCUUCGGGUUGUAACUGCUUUGUACGGAACGAAAAGACUACUUUACUAAUAAAGAAGGUCCAGUGACGGUACCGUAAGAAUAAGACACCGGACUAACUACGUGCCAGCAGCCGCGGUAACCCG
rnacentral:rRNA from 1 species